GGUGCAUGGUUGUCGUCAGCUCGUGUCGUGAGAUGUUGGGUUAAGUCCCGCAACGAGCGCAACCCUACGUUAGUUGCUAACGCGUGAAGGCGAGCACUCUAGACGAACUGCCGUUGACAAAACGGAGGAAGGUGGGGAUGACGUCAAAUCAUCAUGCCCCUUAUGUUCUGGGCUACACACGUGCUACAAUGGCCGGUACAGACGGACGCAAAGCCGCGAGGUGGAGCAAAUCCUAAAAAGCCGGUCUCAGUUCGGAUUGCAGGCUGCAAUUCGCCUGCAUGAAGUCGGAAUCGCUAGUAAUCGCAGGUCAGCAUACUGCGGUGAAUACGUUCCCGGGCCUU
rnacentral:rRNA from 1 species